AACGAACGCUGGCGGCAGGCUUAACACAUGCAAGUCGAGCGCCCCGCAAGGGGAGCGGCAGACGGGUGAGUAACGCGUGGGAACGUACCCUUUGCUACGGAAUAGCUCCGGGAAACUGGAAUUAAUACCGUAUGUGCCCUACGGGGGAAAGAUUUAUCGGCAAAGGAUCGGCCCGCGUUGGAUUAGCAAGUUGGUGGGGUAAUGGCCUACCAAGGCGACGAUCCAUAGCUGGUCUGAGAGGAUGAUCAGCCACAUUGGGACUGAGACACGGCCCAAACUCCUACGGGAGGCAGCAGUGGGGAAUAUUGGACAAUGGGCGCAAGCCUGAUCCAGCCAUGCCGCGUGAGUGAUGAAGGCCUUAGGGUUGUAAAGCUCUUUCACCGGAGAAGAUAAUGACGGUAUCCGGAGAAGAAGCCCCGGCUAACUUCGUGCCAGCCGCCGCUGUAAAAC
rnacentral:rRNA from 1 species